rnacentral:rRNA from 1 species
UGGCGACCGGCGCACGGGUGAGUAACACGUAUCCAACCUGCCGAUGACUCGGGGAUAGCCUUUCGAAAGAAAGAUUAAUGCCCGAUGGCAUAGUUCUUCCGCAUGGUGGAACUAUUAAAGAAUUUCGGUCAUCGAUGGGGAUGCGUUCCAUUAGGUUGUUGGCGGGGUAACGGCCCACCAAGCCUUCGAUGGAUAGGGGUUCUGAGAGGAAGGUCCCCCACAUUGGAACUGAGACGCGGUCCAAACUCCUACGGGAGGCAGCAUG